AUUGAACGCUGGCGGCAUGCCUUACACAUGCAAGUCGAACGGCAGCACGGGUGCUUGCACCUGGUGGCGAGUGGCGAACGGGUGAGUAAUAUAUCGGAACGUACCUUAUCGUGGGGGAUAACGCAGCGAAAGCUGCGCUAAUACCGCAUACGCCCUGAGGGGGAAAGCGGGGGACCGUAAGGCCUCGCGCGAUUAGAGCGGCCGAUAUCUGAUUAGCUUGUUGGUGGGGUAAAAGCCCACCAAGGCGACGAUCAGUAGCUGGUCUGAGAGGACGAUCAGCCACACUGGGACUGAGACACGGUCCAGACUCCUACGGGAGGCAGCAGUGGGGAAUUUUCCGCAAUGGGCGAAAGCCUGACGGAGCAAUCUCGCGUGGGGGAUGACGGCCUAUGGGUUGUAAACCUCUUUUUUCAGGGAGGAACAAAAUGACGUGUACCUGAAGAAUAAGCAUCGGCUAACUCCGUG
rnacentral:rRNA from 1 species